rnacentral:rRNA from 1 species
UGCGUAGGGUGCAAGCGUUGUCCGGAAUUAUUGGGCGUAAAGAGCUCGUAGGCGGUUUGUUGCGUCGGCUGUGAAAUCCCGAGGCUCAACCUCGGGUCUGCAGUCGAUACGAGCAAACUAGAGUGUUGCAGGGGAGACUGGAAUUCCUGGUGUAGCGGUGAAAUGCGCAGAUAUCAGGAGGAACACCGGUGGCGAAGGCGGCGAUCUGGACGAUGACUGACGCUGAGACGCGAAAGCGUGGGGAGCAAACAGG